CACAGAGACAGCAACGUGCCAAAGCAGGGGGGAGGGGUAGGGACGCAUGAGAAAAGCACCAGGCAGCACUGACACUUACCUUCACAAAAACAACACCACGAACAGCUUUCAGAAUCAACAUUACUGCCAUAGACAGUGCAUAGAUGCCAGCGUAGUAAUGCAUGUGGGGGUUAUCUUUCAUGCUGUUACUUAUGACAGUGUCAUUUCCCAAAGUCACAGUGGUGUUUCCGCUGCCUUGCUUGAUCCAGAAACUCAGCCACCAGUUGCUAAAAGCUGUGCUGCCCACAUUCAGCACAAAUAGUGCCAUUAUUACAAGGAAUGCAAAGGGGCCUCCAGCUGCCUGAAUGUAGAUGCCAUAAACAGACCAGGGGACAGAGCCUUUGCCUUUCUCUUCCAACUGAACCAGUUGGCCCUCUUCCUUCUUCACCACCUUCUCCUUCUUCACAGAGCCCGCUUUGGUACCUUUAUCCUGGGGUCUUUUCAGUGAGCUGUUUGUAUUCUUCUUUAUGUUAAUCUCAAUAUGUGGCGUUUCUCCCAGUUGUAGGUUAUUAAAAAUGGUUGCAUAGUCCCCACUUAAAUUCAUUAAUUCCUCA
rnacentral:lncRNA from 1 species